rnacentral:rRNA from 1 species
CGCCCAAUAGCUAGCCCCCCGACCAAAUACAACAAUUCCUUAUCAAUAACCCCAAAAACACAAGCAUCAAACAAAUAAAUCAUUCUCCCCCCCUAGUAUAGGUGAUAGAAAAGGGACCCCGGAGCUAUAGAAAAAGUACCGCAAGGGAACGCUGAAAGAGAAAUGAAAUAACCCAGUAAAGCCCCAAGAAGCAGAGACUCACCCUCGUACCUUUUGCAUCAUGAUUUAGCUAGUAACCCCAAGCAAAGAGCACUUUAGUUUGACCCCCCGAAACUAAGUGAGCUACUCCAAGACAGCCUAACCAAUAGGGCAAACCCGUCUCUGUGGCAAAAGAGUGGGAAGAGCUUUGAGUAGCGGUGACAGACCUACCGAACUUAGUUAUAGCUGGUUGUCUGGGAACUGGAUAUAAGUUCAGCCUCACAGCUUCUUUUUACACCCAUGACCCCCGUCCUUCCCUUAGGAUACCCCCACGUCAUCCGAAGAAACUAUGAGAGUUAGUCAAAGGGGGCACAGCCCUUUUGACACAGGACACAACUUUUCUAGGAGGGUAAAGAUCAUA